ACGGGGGGUGCAAGCGUUAAUCGGAAUUACUGGGCGUAAAGGGUUCGUAGGUGGUAUGAUAAGUCAGAUGUGAAAGCCCAGGGCUCAACCUUGGAACUGCAUUUGAUACUGUCAAACUAGAGUAUAGUAGAGGAGUGGGGAAUUUCUGGUGUAGCGGUGAAAUGCGUAGAGAUCAGAAGGAACACCAAUGGCGAAGGCAACACUCUGGACUAAUACUGACACUGAGGGACGAAAGCGUGGGGAUCAAACAGG
rnacentral:rRNA from 1 species